UACGGAAUGGGCAAGCGUUGUUCGGAAUCAUUGGGCGUAAAGGGCGCGUAGGUGGUUCUGUAUGUCUACCGUGAAAGCGUACGGCUCAACCGUAUUUUGUCGGUGGAAACUGCAGGACUUGAGGCUGGGAGGGGCUGGUGGAAUUCCCUGUGUAGCGGUGAAAUGCGUAGAGAUGGGGGAGAGCACUCGUGGCGAAGGCGGCCAGCUAGACCAGUUCUGACACUGAGGCGCGACAGCGUGGGGAGCAAACAGG
rnacentral:rRNA from 1 species